rnacentral:rRNA from 1 species
UACGAAGGGGGCUAGCGUUGCUCGGAAUCACUGGGCGUAAAGCGCACGUAGGCGGAUUGCUAAGUCAGGGGUGAAAUCCUGGAGCUCAACUCCAGAACUGCCUUCGAUAGCUGAGAGUCUCGGAGUCCGGGAGAGGUGAGUGGAACUGCGAGUGUAGAGGUGAAAUUCGUAGAUAUUCGCAAGAACACCAGUGGCGAAGGC